GCUUUAACCUCUGAGCCACCAGGGAAGCCCUGGGUAUAGAUAGCCCCUACUGAAUUCAAGAUUUAAAAAAUAUUUUCCAGAGUUAUUGACAUAUAAUUGACAUAUCGCAUUGUAUACAUUUUAUAUAAUUUUUACUUGUUUAUUUGUCUGACUGUGCUGAGUCGUCUUAGCUGCGUGUGCUCUCUGCUCUCGUUGCAGAAGGUGGGGGCUCCUCUCUGGUUGCGGUGCGCGGGCUUCUCGCCGCAGCGGCUUCCUUUGUUGCGGAGCACCGGCUCUGGGCGCUCGGGCUCCCGCAGUUGCGGCUCCCGGGCUCUAGAGCGCAGGCUCAGUAGUUGUGGCGCCCGGGCUUCGCCGCCGCUCAGCGUGUGGGUUCUUCCCAGACCCGGGAUAGACCCCCGUGUCUCCUCCAUUGGCAUGCGUGCUUCAUCGCUCAGUCCUGUCCAACCCUUCGAGACCCUUUGGACCCCAGCCCGCCAGGCUCCUCUGUCCAUGAGAUUCUUCAGGCAAGAGUACUGGAGCAAGUUGCCAUUUCCUCAUCCAGGGCAUCUUCCCAGGCUGAGGAUUGAACCCCUGUCUCCUGCGUCUCCUGUAUCGACAGGCGGAUCCGUUACCGCUGCGCUAGCUGGGAAGCCCAGUUUUUAUGCCAGUACCAUGCUGUGUGACUGCUAUAGAUUUACUGUCAAGUUUUAAAUCAGAAAACCUCUCGCCUGGUGCCCGCUUCAUCCUGGAACAGCUAAGAUGGUGUUAAUUCCACGGUAGCAGCAGUUUCCUUGACCACCCCGUGUAAGACUCACAGCCACAAACGGGGGAGCAGGGGCAAUCCUGAGUUGCCACGUUCGCCACUGUCCAUGGUGUAAAUACUCCCGUCCUGGUUCAUUUCAAGCUAACGUUGUGACGUCACCGAACCCAGAGUCGGGAAGAGAUGCAUGUGAUCAGCUCUCCUGAGUAACCCAAACCGGUUCCGGCAAUGAGAUGCCGCUUCACACAUCUCAUCAGCAGAGCACUAAGCCAGACAAUACCGAGGGUUUAAUAUGAAGAUGUGUUAAGUGCUGGUGGGCGUGGAAACUGAUUCAGCCGCUGUGGAGAGCAGGGCGGUAUUAUUUGGUGGGAUGCUGGUAGUCUGCAAUCCAAAAAUGUGUGCGGUUUUCUCUCUGGAGAUGUGUAAACAGAGCUUCUUGCAACGUUGUUGGGAAGAGCCAGAAAGUGGAAGCAACCUAAAUGUCCAUCAAUAGGAAAAUGUAUAAAUAAUCAUGAAACAGUCAUUGAGCGGGAGAAUGCACUACAGCAUUCUUAAAAUUAAUACACUAAUACAUUUAUCAGGAUGGCUAUAUCUUAGAAGGCAUAAUGUGGAAUAAAAAAAUCAAGCUUUAGGAUGUUAUGUGAUGCAUAACAGAGAACUUCUGUAGAAGUUUUAAAUGCAUAAAAUGCUACCCAGUGAUAUGAUACAGAGAUAUAUAUUCACUGAAACAUGAUGAAAAAUUAUUUUAAAUAGAGUAGACAAAUACAUCUGAAAUUUAUGAUAAUAUUGCUCCUGGGGAGAGAGAAAGGAGCUUGAAACUGGGGAUGGAUGUAAAGGGUACUUCAUCUUUAUUAUAUUAUUCUAGCUCCUUUAAAUAUUAAAAAAUAGUGAUUUGAAAUAAAAAUGACAACAUUUUAAUGGUUUAAAUCCUGUAUUCUGACAAAUAGGGCAUUGUACUGGUUACAUUUUUCUUUAUGUUUCUUGAUAUUUCAAAAAGUCCUUCAAAGCAUCAGGGCACAAGCUCUUUAUGACAUGAGAUUAACUCCAUCCCUGUUCACUGGCAAAUCUCACACACCACGUCCUCAGGCAGAGAGCAUGACCAGGUGGGUCCUUUCCUCGCAAGUGAUGUGCCCCCUUCUCCAGGAAGCCCCUCUUGACGUCCUCCUCUGGGCUCCUGGUGGCACUUCAUGAAUGUAGCUUUGGUGACACUUGUCACACUGAUUGUACAGUAAUGUAAUGUUUCCAGCUGGAGCUGGGGUCAUCCCAAAGGUUCUCUUCACAUGUCUGGAUUGGAAAGACUCAAACAGCUUGGAAGUGGGGUGCCUGGGGUUUCUGAGACACUUCUAUCUUUCUAGACAGAUCCACAGAUGAUGAAGAUAGAUCGGUAGAUGCAGAUGGGUAAUGGCUAAGUAGGUAGAUAGAGUGAAGACAGAGAUAGAUGAAUGAAUGAUAAAGAUGGAUGAUAAAUAAAAGACAGAUAGAUAGCCCUUCCAGUAUCCUUGCCUGGGAAAUCUCAUGGGCAGAGUAGCCUGGUGGGCUGUUCCCUGGGGUCGUAGAAGAGUUGGGCACAACUGAGUGACUAGACAGGUGUAAAUGGAAGAUAGAGAUACUGGGGUAUGUUGUAAAUGUGCCAUCUCUUACUCUAGAACCAACUGCUACACACUCAGGAAUUUUGUGAGCUGGUCACCAAACCAUCAGUAACUUGAAAUUGACGGUGAUGAGAGUAUUUCCAUCACAGAAAUAAACUAUACGUCAGGUCUGUUUUUGAGAGGGAGCAAGCUUAUCUGCAUCACUGGGUGUGGAUAAAGAAAUAUUUAUUUUCUCCAUUCUGUGUAAAUAUAUCCAGUUCUCCCAGCUUUGUCCACUGAGCCAAGACGAAAAGGUGAAGGGAGGUAAAACCUCCUCCCACUGCCUUUUAGGGAAUAGUCGCCUCGUCUGCCGAGGGUGGUCACCUCGCCCCCGUGCUCACCGAACCUCUAGCAGCUCCAGAAGGGAGCAGCCGCCUCUGCAGUCAGCUGAGGCCUUGCCACAAAGUCACCCCCUGAUAUCUGUUCAGAGUCAGAGGAAUAGAGAGGAAGUAAUUAUUAUUUACACUUCUAUUGAAAAGGCUUCACUUAAAACUGAAAGGAAACCCCACAAUUGGCAACGAGGUUAAAAAAACAAAAGACACUGAGCAAAAAUAG
ensembl:lncRNA